rnacentral:rRNA from 1 species
GACAGAGGUCCCAAGCGUUAGGCGGAAUCACUGGGCUUAAAGCGUGUGUAGGCGGAUUUGUAAGUACCUUGUGAAAUCCCACGGCUCAACCGUGGAACUGCUUGGUAUACUGCUUAUCUUGGGUCAUCUAGGGGCGAGCGGAACAAACGGUGGAGCGGUGAAAUGCGUAGAUAUGCGGAGGAACACCGAUGGCGAAGGCAAUCCCCUGGGCCUGCACUGACGCUCAUGCACGAAAGCGUGGGGAGCAAACAGG